AAGCUCCUAAGAGUCAUCCUGAAGCAAGCCAUGGGCUAACAGCAAUACCAAGAGGAGAUUCAGCUGCGUCAGAUCCCAGUUGCAGCCUUCUCGAUCUUUCACUGUGGCAUACAGGCUCUCUAGUUCCGACCGUCCCUCCCUUUCCUGAGUGCUCAGUUGUGUCUGACUCUUUUCGACCCACGGACUGUAGACCACCAGGCUCCUCUGUCCAUGGGACUCUCCAGGCAAGAAUACUGGAGUGGGUUGCCAUUUUCUUUAAGGGAUCUUCCCGACCCAGGGAUCCAACACAUGUCUCCCAUGUUGGCAGGAAUAUUCAACUGCUUGGGUGUGGGCCCAAAGGAGGCAGAGAAGCUGGUUCACUGACUGCUGAGGUUUUUUUAGCCUGCAAGAAGCUGAAUGCCACCAACAGCCAUGUGAGCUUGGAAGCAGUUCCUUCCCCGGGCAGGACUCAGAUGAGACUGCAGCCCCAGUUGACACCAUGAUGGCAGCUUCGCGAGACGCUGAGUCAGAGGAUCCAUG
ensembl:lncRNA